rnacentral:lncRNA from 1 species
CAGGACACCUGGCCUGGGGACCGCGCUGGCUGUGCACACCUAAGACCCGCGCAGUACAGAAUCCUGUUCAUAAAUCAAUAAGAUCAAAGGUGCAAAGAAAAGGGCCCUUGGGAAAACCAGAAAUAAACUUGAGAUCACAGGAUCACAGCCCCGGAGGGCCUGGCCGCGGACCUGGGCUCCCUCCCACACCCUGCCUGGUGGCUGCAGGGUUCUCCUGAGGCUGAGCCACCUUCUCUGAGCAGGCCCCUCCUCAGGCACUGCCCCAGACUGGCUUGUGUCCCCGGUUCCCGUCGAAGCCUGUGCCCUGUGUGCUGGCACAGCCGUGGGCACCCCAGGAGGAGGGCGCCCCAGGAGGAGGGCCCUCCUGGGAGCCGCUGCAGCACGGUGGCCGGCUGGGCAGCUGUGGGUGCCAGCCUGGUCCAGGGCUGUGGUGUCCUUCCAGUGCCACUUGGCUCAGCACAGUGUGACAGGCAGAGGUCACGAUGGCACAGGCUCAGGUCCAGAAGUGGCAGGUGGAACUGGACUCCAGCCAUCCUGAUUCCAACCCGGGCACUUUUGCCUGUUUGGGUCUUGAACCCAUCAGAGCCGAGCUCUCAAGGAAACAGCCACUGGCUGUGUGGAGAGAUUUAUCAAGCAAUCGGCUCUCGUGGUUAUGGAGGCCGCUGAGUGCAAACUGCAGUGUGGACUGGCAGCAGGAGACCAGGAGAGGGGACGGCACAGAUGUGCCGAGGCUGUUGGCUGGAGAACCCCCUUCUUGUUCCAGUCAAGCCUUCAGCUGAAUGGGUGAGGCCCACCGAUCUACUUACAAAGUGCACAGAUUUACAAAUUAACCGUACUCAAAAGCACCCUCCAAGUGGCACAUGAAUUGACCAUCACAGUGUGGAGGUAGGUUCUGGGGGUGCUGGGGGACUCCCCUGCUCUCUGUGUGGCAGCCCCACCUCUGAAGGCAUUUCUGGGUUUUAGCCCCACGAGGACUGAGCCCUGCCCUGCAGUCUGCUCCCUGCCCAAGCCCGCCUGCCUCACAGCCCUACCUCCUCUGCUCUUCCUCCCCUUGUCCCUCUCCUGUUGUGUUGAGAGCCACAACCAAGUCAGGAUGGCACCUGGCAUUUUGCCAGAAGGAGUGGUUGAGGGGUAGCGCCAGCGAGCCAUUGGGAUGAUGAUGGUUAAGUUAAGCUGUGUAUAAUUAUUGGGAUGAUGGCUGAUUGCUGUAACUGGAUGAUGCUGGAUUGGGG